UUCAAGGGGUGCCCACCUGUUGUGGGCUGAGAUGAUACCCUCAAACCUGAUCCGGACAAUGCCGGCGUAGGGAUGAAAAGUAU
rnacentral:ncRNA from 1 species